GAGGAGGAGACCCGGCUGAAGAGGCAGCGGCGGUGUUAGCGUUGGGGGCGGGGCAGGAAAGGAUGGGUGCCUGCUCUACCUGCGCUGAGGGAGGAGGCCAGUAGAGUGGACGAAGAGAGGCACCGAGCCCCACAGGGUGAAAAGAAACCUUGGGGUGCAGGCCGGGAGUGGGAGACGAGAACAAGGCCCAGCCAGGGUUUGAGGGGAGAUCACUUACCCAAGGUCACACAGCAGAGGUGGCAGAACUAGGAUUAGGACAGACAGAGACGCCUUUUGAGCCUCCCAGGAAUAAUUCCUCCCAGGAAUCCCUUGUACUUGGAAUCUGCCCUUAAACUCAGGAGAUCCAUUUUGAGUACUGAGGCAUCAUGUUAUUUCAGUCUGUUGAUUUCUUGAAUUUCCCAGAAUUACUGGACCAGAAGAUAGAAACACUUGGGUGGAAUUUCACCUCUUGCAGCUGCAACUGCUACUUCCCACAGAAUUUCCUUAUUAAACGGAGAAUUAGCAUGUGUUAAAGACAGAUUCACAUCUACUUGACUC
ensembl:lncRNA